UAAGGAAUAUUGGUCAAUGGGCGAAAGCCUGAACCAGCCAUCCAGCGUGCAGGAAGAAGGCCCUAUGGGUUGUAAACUGCUUUUGUCAGGGAAUAAACCUGUGGAUUUAUCCGCAGCUGAAGGUACCUGAAGAAUAAGCACCGGCUAACUCCGUGCCAGCAGCCGCGGUAAUACGGAGGGUGCGAGCGUUAUCCGGAAUUACUGGGUUUAAAGGGUGCGUAGGCGGCCAUGUAAGUCAGGAGUGAAAGUUUGCGGCUCAACCGUAAAAUUGCUUUUGAUACUGCAUGGCUGGAAUCAGGAUGAGGUCAGCGGAAUGUGGCAUGUAGCGGUGAAAUGCAUAGAUAUGCCAUAGAACACCAAUUGCGAAGGCAGCUGGCUAGACCUGUAUUGACGCUGAGGCACGAAAGCGUGGGGAGCGAACAGGAUUAGAUACCCUGGUAGUCCACGCCCUAAACGAUGCUUACUCGACGUAUAG
rnacentral:rRNA from 1 species